rnacentral:rRNA from 1 species
CCUACGGGUGGCUGCAGUGAGGAAUAUUGGUCAAUGGGCGGAAGCCUGAACCAGCCAAGUAGCGUGCGGGAUGAAGGCCCUACGGGUCGUAAACCGCUUUUGCACGGGGAUAACACCCUCCACUUGUGGAGGUCUGCAGGUACCGUACGAAUAAGGGCCGGCUAAUUCCGGGCCAGCAGCCGCGGUAAUACGGAAGGCACGAGCGUUAUCCGGAUUCAUUGGGUUUAAAGGGUGCGUAGGCGGUUCGAUAAGUUAGAGGUGAAAUCCCGGGGCUCAACUCCGGCACUGCCUCUGAUACUGUCAGGCUAGAGUUUAGUUGAGGUAGGCGGAAUGUAUGGUGUAGCGGUGAAAUGCAUAGAGAUCAGACAGAACACCGGUUGCGAAGGCAGCUUACCAAACAAUGACUGACGCUGAUGCACGAAAGCGUGGGGAUCAAACAGGAUUAGAUACCCGAGUAGUC